AGAAAACUUAUUGGACAGAGUCCUUUUAAGUGAAAUCAAAUAUAUUAAAUUGAUCAGUGCAGUGGAGAAUGUCUUUAAUAAGUUUGUAACUGCGCCCAAACGUUAAUCAAAGCUCCUUAAAAAGUGAUAGUGAAAUUCACUUGCUCCAUAAUCUGAAAUACAAGAUUUAUAAAUUGAAAGUAGUAGAUUAAAGGAGAGCUAGAUUUUUGAAUGUGGAACCUUAAUUAAUAAAAUAUUUACCUAAAAUUAAUUUUAAAGUGACCCCUGGCUGUUGUUUUCUGCUCAUAAAAGCUACCUGGAAAACAUGAAAGAUUGUUUUAGUCCUGGUGAUUACUAGCGUGCUGGCUUUCUAUUGCUGUAAAAAGAUACCUCAAAUUGAGCUGCUUAAAUGAAUACCCGUUAUUUAUCAGCCUACAGUUUUCAUGGGUCAGUUGUCCAGGCACAGCUUAACCGGGUCCUCUUCUCAAGGUUUCGCAAGGCUGCAAUCAAGCCUUCAGGAAGGGCUGGGAUCUCAUCAGGGUCCCUCUUCAGAGGGUCCUCUUCCGGGUUGAUAUGGGUGUUGGCAGAAUUCAUUUCCCUGUGGCUGUAGAGUUCAUAGUGCCUUGCUUCUUCAAGACUGGCAAGAGAAAACGUCUCUAACUUCUAGAUUUAUUUUCAAAGAGUUCAUCUGAUUAGGGCAGGCCCACCCAGAGUAUCUCCCUCUUAAUUAACUCAAAGCCAACUGAUUAAGGGCCUUAAUUACAUUUGUGAAAAUCCAUUCACCUUUGCCAUAUAACGUAACCUAAUCACAGGAAUGACACCCCAUCAUGCUCACAGGUCCCAGACACACUACAGUGGAAGGGAUUAUACUAGGUGCAUAUACCUAGUAUAAUCCUAGGGGUACACCUAGGGGGUGAGAAUGUUGGGGGCCAUCUUAGGACCCUGCCUGCCAUGGUUAAUAGCAGUAUCUUUUUUAUUUCUUUAACGUAGAUACUAAAACAGUAUCUUCUUUCUUUCUGUGAAGGGCAUCCCUACUACUGCUCUCAUUUCUUUCUCCUCGUAUCCCGUCACUCAGAGUCUGAUCAGUGCUGUGUCUCCACCGUUGCUUGACCACCUGCCUUCUUCUCUAGAAACACUGCUUCCACCUUGGUUCAUUUAGGGCCUUAUCUCUGGCUGGCCUGUCAUAGCUGCCAGCAACCUUGUUUCCUCAUCUGCAGUCUUGCCCCUCAAUCCUUUCUCCAUCCUGCAGCCAGAGGAAUCUCCCUUAAGUACAAGCCUGAUCAUCUCACUUCUUGAUUUCAAUCCACAGCAAAAUGGAUACACUGCAGCCCAGCCUUCUUGCUUCCGUGUUCUCCCCACUCCAGCCCCUGCCUUGUCUCUAACUUCACCCUUCUUUGAUCUCUCCUAUCAGGACUUUUCUCUGGUAUUCCCGACUGGUUAAGUCCAACCAGAAGCCAGCAAGCACGAGCUAAUGAUGCAGUCCAUACGUUUGAGGAUGUAUAAAGGAGAGUAGCAAAGAAUGGGUACUGUACAUGGAGGGUAAAUGGCAGUUAUAGCUCAUACACCCCCCCAAAAAAGGUGUAAAAUUGCAGAAGUCAUGCCCAGAAGGGACAAAGAGGAGCCAAGGACAGGAGUUUGUCCUAGGUUGCUGCUGGCUCCACGUUACUUUUUCAAAUGUUUAACCACCAUUGUUUGGUAGCAUCUUUCCAAAGAUUUUAACAUGAAACUUUUGCAGUGAAGUGAAAAUGUGUGGAUUUAGCUCUACUCUCUCAGUUGCCCCCCACGCCCUGCAUUGAAUCCCAGCCUCUGAGAAGUAACAGCUGACUGGCGCCACACUCCCUUCCAGUUCCAGAGCAGAGCUGGCGGUUCUGGCUAUUGGUGGCCGAGAAAGGGCACAGCUCGGUGUGUGUGGAGAGAGAGGCCUGAUGAGCAGCUUUCCCUAGGGCAUUUCUGACACCAGUCAUCCGGCUUCUCCAGGACGGCUCAACGGUUCACUAAGGACAGCGUGGGAGGAAAACGUGGCCCAGCCUGAUAGAUAUCUCAGUCUUUUCACCCAGACCGACGCCAGCAAAGCUAAAAAUAAAUCAGCUUUCAGGUGAGCUGAGAGGACACAACCUGUGGAGACCUGAGCCCACAUCAGGGUGGUAAUUGCAGCCUUCACACGUCAGCGGAACCUUCUGCUCCUCUCAGGUCUGGGCACAGAGGCCUGGAAGGCGCAAGCGUUCAUGAGCCAGCAGUAAUGAUGGAACCAGCCCUCUCGUGUGGAAGUCUCUCUGAGUGAACCAGAUGUCGUUGGCCCUAGGAGAUCCACGACCAAGAGUUGAGUUUUCACAGCGUUGAAAGGCCAGCAUUGGCCCUAACGCUAUUGGCCUCAGCAGAAGUCAGGAGCAAGAGUGAAGACCUAAUGAAGAGAGAGAGAGGCUGGAGAGUCUGGACAGAAACCUGCGAGCCUUAGAUUCUCAUGCUGUCUCAUCAAGCGCAGGGCCCAGCUUUUCAUCCAGUGAAGGGUUCCAUGCAGCCCAGAACCACCAUGGCCUUGGAGAAGAGGCUCAGAAGCAGGAGUCAGGAAGCAGAAGCCCUGGCCACUUUGUGGUUGUAGAGUCAUCAUCUAGAAGAGAGAACCAUGAAAUGUAUGUGUAGAAAGACAGCUGGCCUCUCUUCCCACAGGAGUUAACGAUCCAGAGGGGAAGACGAUUUGAGCUCUUUACAGACCCGCGUUAUACAUGACUGGCUGCUGAUCCAUCUCCUUCUCGCUGACCAGGACGAGGAAACUGACUGACAUCGUCAAGCAGCAGCAGUGAAGAUGCAGCGUAGACUUUCUGGACAGACCGGUUGCCAAGAACCAAACUGUGGAAGGAGUAAUAAGUAUUCAUUUAACACCCAGUUAUAUAACACAUAUAUAUCAUAUAACAGAGUUAUAUGAUAGGCACUCUGGGGUAAAAAAAUAAAAAUCACCGAACCGACUCUUAACCUCAAUUUGGGUAUUGAAGAAAGGAUUGUCUUGCCUUGCACAUAGUAGGCAUUUAGUAAAUGUUGAAUUGAAGAAUAUAAUCGAACGGUGAUUCAGCUGAGGGAAGGCCUACACAGAGGAAGGGGGAUCUCAAAUCUCUUCCAAAACUGUAAGAAUGACAAGGCAGGAUGUUCUGUGCAAGGCUGGAGUCACAGCUUUCAAAGACAAUUCAAAUGCUACGUGGUCAAGGCACAAGGGGAAAAACAGCCUCUUGAAUCCCUAAUUGUUUACUUCCUUAAGAGAGUAAGUUUAGCUGGCGGCAUGGAGCUUAUUCAUUCAUUCAUUCAUUCACUUACUCAUCCUGUAAUUAUGAAGCAGUUCUAUAUACUAGGUGCUGGGCUCAGCACUAAGGGUAGAGCAGUUGAAAUAAGAUGAACAGUUUCUUGUCCUCAGGAAGCCUCUAGUCCAGGGAGGAAGUCAGACAUUGAAAAUAGAUGUUCCAGCUGUGAUGAAUGGAUCGAUAGGGGCAAUCAAAGUGCUAUGGAUAUCAUUUGUCGUGUACUGCAAGUUUAUUAACCUAGGAAUAGAUUCAAACAUUGUCAUGUACAUAUUGUGACCAUGACUUUGCAAAUGAACUUUUAACAAACAUAUUGAGACUUAUGCAUAUAAAUAAGUGUUUUUUCCAACAAAGACUCACUUUGGAAGCCCGUGUUCAUAUUUCAAUGAUACUUUUCUGGUUACUGGUAUGUAUUUCUUAUUUUUCAUUUGCACUAGAGACUGAAUAUGUUCUCCUGAAUAUUCUUUUACUAUUUAUUCUUUGAUGAUAAGUCCAGCCUUUGGAGUUGCUAUGAAUUGACUAUGACUUGGUCUCUACCUAGCUGUGUGAGUUUGGCAAGUUAUGUGACUUUAAUAUUCUGAAGAGCAGAAUGCUCUCUGUGAUUUUGUCCUCUUCAGACUGUUACCAACCUGGUACGUUAUUCUGGGACUCCCAGCAUCUGAACCUGUAGGCUGUGGUCUGGGAGGCAACGUCUCGGUGGACAGUACGUGUCAUCAACCUCUUCUAGGCUGACUGAUCAUGCCUGGCUUCUGGCCACCUGCACUGUGUUAGCUAAUAGAUGGAGUGGCUCUUUUCCACCAUUACUUUGCUGAUAAUUACAGGUGCAGGCUUUAUCAUGUUUGGGGUUUGGCCAGUAUUCUGUGAGACGUGAUCAGAGCGAUUGAUACUUAUCAGUGCUGGGAUCCUUCCCAGACACACAAAACAGGUGAGGCAACUGCCAUUUGUGAUGAUCUUGGCCCCAAAGUCAUUUCAUUCUUCCCCAGGAUGCUGAGAAAAUACAGACUGACAUCCACUUAACUGAGGUACAGGGGGACGCUGGACCACAAUGGGGAGGAGGUGCUGAAAGCCUCAGAGACCAGCUGGAUGUGCUUUCUCAGAUGUCAGGCUGCACCAGUGUACAUCGCACCCAUCAGGUCAGCCACAGGACCUCAGAAUGUCCAAGCAGUAUCAAGAGGAGCCUUGGAGGUCAUCUGCUUCCGUCUCCUUAUAUGUAGAUGAGGAAAUAGGUUAAGGACGUUUUUGAGGUCACACAGCAUACCGGCAGCCGGCUGUCUUAGACCCAAAUUCUCCUGAAUUGGUUUCCUCUCCAUCCCUGCUUCUUAGGCACCUCAGACACCUGAAAUUGUUACCAACCAUUGCACACAUUCGAUGCAGAAGUUUCGAAAUGGAAGCCUAUGGGCUGUAUCCGGCAUGCAUAGCUGAUCUUAGUUGCCUGCAAAGUAUAAACAUUGAGAUGAUAUUUCAAAAAUCAGGAGAUAUUUACAUAAACAUUCAGAAUCUUAGCUUCUCUUGAAAAUAUAGAAAACACUGGAACACCAAGACAAAAAUCAUCAGAAGCCAGGUUUUUCUCCAUAUUAACCACAAUCGUGCAUAUUCACUUGUAAGAGUUACACUAACAAGAGUUAGCUGAUGGCUCUGUGAGACUUGCUUGCUACCUCUGGUAAGUGUGUGCUUCAGGGUCCCCACCAAACUUCUAUCACAUCCCCAGUCCACUUGUCCUCACUCUAAAUGAGGCCAGUGCCCUACCCUCCGAAUUUAGCCAAGCCCAUUCACUACCGUCUCCAAUGCCUCUCGUACUGGUCCUCUCCUCCUGCCCUCUGCAGGGACCCAUCUUCCUAUUUGUGGAAGAUGUUCCCCCUUCUAUUUAAUAUUUCUACCAAACUGCUUUUUUCUUCAGCAUCCCCAGUAACACUUUGGCAGAGGACAUUAAACCAUAAUUCAUGGGUAGUCUUCAGGAAGACAGAAAAUUCUCAAAAUUUGUAUGCAAAAUUUUGAGUGCAUGUAUAUUUUUAAAGGAAACUGUCCAUGGCUUUUUUCAUCUUUUUUUUUACCAGGGCCCUGCAAAAUACUUGUUUUCUGCUCUCUGCCUGCCCGUUGUGAGCCUGUCUUCUCCUUGCAGGUUACUUUCCCAGUACCCUACGCAGUCUCUGUGGUCCCAAGGGCAGUGUUGCCCAUGGUCUGUGGCACAGGGAGGAAUGUGGUUCUUGCUACAUACUCAGAAGGUUGCCAUAUUUGCCACCCUCAGGAAUGUGCUCCCCACCCCCACAAUAUUUUUUCCUUUAGUUGUAUAAAAAACAUCUUACUCCUUGACCUAAGGUAAAUCAUUUUAGUAGAAUUAUUAGCGCUUCAUAGCCAACCUACAUUCCAUACCUGGGAAACUUUCUAAAUUCUCUGUUGUGAGAGAGGAAGAAGAGGAGAGGGUUUCAGAGCAAAGCAGCCUGCCCCGUCGCAAAGUCGCAGAAAGCACGACUCGAGGUAAUAAAGAUUUGUUUCCAUAAACUGUGGGCUACUAACUAAGAAAUAAUAAAGUAAAAAAAAAUCUAUGUCUCCUAGUUCUGACAGGCUGCAUCUCUUUAUGAGAAAUAUUCAGCUGCAAGUAACAACAACAAGGAAAAUACUAACAGUAACCUGCAGGAUGGACAUUGAUGGUUUCCUUCUGAGAUAGAUGAGCUCCUGGAUAAUUUGAUGGCUCAACUAUGUCACCAAGGACCAGGGCUCUUCUGAUUUAAGUUCUCCACCUUGCCAUCUUAUGGUUGCAAGAUGCACGUUGCAUACUUGUACAUCAUGUCCUCAAAGGUCAAAAAUAAAAGAAAGGGGUA